UAGGGAAUCUUCCGCAAUGGGCGAAAGCCUGACGGAGCAACGCCGCGUGAGUGAUGAAGGUCUUCGGAUCGUAAAACUCUGUUAUUAGGGAAGAACAAAUGUGUAAGUAACUAUGCACGUCUUGACGGUACCUAAACAGAAAGCCACGGCUAACUACGUGCCAGCAGCCGCGGUAAUACGUAGGUGGCAAGCGUUAUCCGGAAUUAUUGGGCGUAAAGCGCGCGUAGGCGGUUUUUUAAGUCUGAUGUGAAAGCCCACGGCUCAACCGUGGAGGGUCAUUGGAAACUGGAAAACUUGAGUGCAGAAGAGGAAAGUGGAAUUCCAUGUGUAGCGGUGAAAUGCGCAGAGAUAUGGAGGAACACCAGUGGCGAAGGCGACUUUCUGGUCUGUAACUGACGCUGAUGUGCGAAAGCGUGGGGAUCAAACAGG
rnacentral:rRNA from 1 species